UUUAUUUUCUCUGUUUUGGAAUUUAGCCAGGGUGUUUGUUAUCUAAUCUGGAAUAUAGCACCUCCAACAACUGGGAUAUGGUUGGUUGGUUGUCUGGCUCCUGAAUGAACUCCCAGCUUCUCUUGCAAAGAUUUUGGAAAUGCAUGUUCCAAGCACGGAACACUUGGAGGCUGUAGGCCAAUGCCACUUUGGUACAGCUGACAUCGGUCCAUGGGUCAAAAUUAAUCAAAUUCAAGAUUAGCACCACCACAUCUUUUGUUUUGAACUGCAGUACUGCCUGGUGUCAGUAUUUUCCCUUCCUGCUUCUGACCUGAUGUCACCGCACAGCCACCCUGUCACACAAGGGCUGCUGUUCUUUAUCUGCAAAGAGGGGAGUACAUUUUAACCCAAGGAAGGACUAAUUGACUGAGCAGGUGAUGUAUAUCAGAAAAUCUCUCUCUCUCGAUAGAUAGAUAGAUUCAGUACAAGGAACUGCAUGAUACACAAAAAUAUUGUUAGUUUAAAGACUGCCUCACAUAUUUUAGGGAUUUAAAAAAAUAGGGAGCAUGUAAUAUUAAUCUUAAAGGAGUAAACUGGACAGUAACCAUAUUAUUAAUUUUAGCGAUAAGGGCUAUCUAAAAAGCCAGAUGUUUUAAGUUUAAUUAAGCCUUAUGACACACAAAGCAGGGAAAAAUUGCUAUUAAAGAGCAAGCAAAAUGGCAGUAUGGCAUCAGCUCUAAACCUGAUCCACCUUCUGCAGUGCUGCCUUGAGAAAUCUGACUGACUAAGGUGAGAAUCUGAACUUAAGCAUGUAUCUUGCUUCUGUAUCUUCCAUGUAUUGGUGUAUGU